rnacentral:rRNA from 2 species
GAUGAACGCUAGCGGGAGGCUUAACACAUGCAAGUCGAGGGGCAGCACGGGUAGCAAUACUUGGUGGCGACCGGCAGACGGGUGAGUAACGCGUAUGUAACCUACCCCAUACAGAGGGAUAACUCGAAGAAAUUCGGACUAAUAUCUCAUAAGACCACACGAGGACAUCCGAGAGUGGUUAAAGUUCCGGCGGUAUGGGCUGGGCAUGCGUAACAUUAGCUAGUUGGUAAGGUAACGGCUUACCAAGGCUUCGAUGUUUAGGGGUCCUGAGAGGGUGGUCCCCCACACUGGUACUGAGACACGGACCAGACUCCUACGGGAGGCAGCAGUGAGGAAUAUUGGUCAAUGGGCGCAAGCCUGAACCAGCCAUCCCGCGUGCAGGAAGACGGCCCUAUGGGUUGUAAACUGCUUUUCCAGGGGGCGAAUAGCUCUUACGUGUAAGGGUAUGACUGUACCUUGGGAAUAAGCAUCGGCUAACUCCGUG